GACGAACGCUGGCGGCGUGCCUAAUACAUGCAAGUAGGACGCAGUUGCGAACGGGUGAGUAACGCGUAGGGAACUGCCUAUUAGAGGGGGAUAACUAUUGGAAACGAUAGCUAAUACCGCAUACUAGUAGAUGGACCUGCGUUGUAUUAGCUAGUAGGUAGCGUAAUGGCCUACCUAGGCAACGAUACAUAGCCGACCUGCGAUGGUGAUCUGCCAAACGGGGACUGAGACACGGCCCAGACUCCUACGGGAGGCAGCAGUAGGGAAUCUUCGGCAAUGGGGGGAACCUUGACCGAGCAACGCCGCGUGAGUGAAGAAGGUUUUCGGAUCGUAAAGCUCUGUUGUUAAGGAAGCGGUACUUAACCAGAAAGGGACGGCUAACUACGUGCCAGCAGCCGCGGUAAUUC
rnacentral:rRNA from 1 species